rnacentral:rRNA from 1 species
UCGGGAAUUUUGGGCAAUGGGCGAAAGCCUGACCCAGCAACGCCGCGUGAAGGAUGAAGUAUUUCGGUAUGUAAACUUCGUAAGAAUAGGAAGAAUAAAUGACGGUACUAUUUAUAAGGUCCGGCUAACUACGUGCCAGCAGCCGCGGUAAUACGUAGGGACCAAGCGUUGUUCGGAUUUACUGGGCGUAAAGGGCGCGUAGGCGGCAAUUCAAGUCAUCUGUGAAAUCUCCGGGCUUAACUCGGAACGGUCAGAUGAUACUGCUUUGCUAGAGUGCAGAAGGGGCAAUCGGAAUUCUUGGUGUAGCGGUGAAAUGCGUAGAUAUCAAGAGGAACACCUGAGGUGAAGACGGGUUGCUGGGCUGACACUGACGCUGAGGCGCGAAAGCCAGGGGAGCAAACGGGAUUAGAUACCCCUGUAGUCCCUGAGCGGGCUGGCAAGGCGCAU